rnacentral:rRNA from 1 species
AGUGAACGCUGGCGGUAGGCCUAACACAUGCAAGUCGAACGGCAGCACAGUAAGAGCUUGCUCUUACGGGUGGCGAGUGGCGGACGGGUGAGGAAUACAUCGGAAUCUACUUUUUCGUGGGGGAUAACGUAGGGAAACUUACGCUAAUACCGCAUCCGACCUACGGGUGAAAGCAGGGCAUCUUCGCACCUUGCGCGAUUGAAUGAGCCGAUGUCGGAUUAGCUAGUUGGCGGGGUAAAGGCCCACCAAGGCGACGAUCCGUAGCUGGUCUGAGAGGAUGAUCAGCCACACUGGAACUGAGACACGGUCCAGACUCCUACGGGAGGCAGCAGUGGGGAAUAUUGGACAAUGGGCGCAAGCCUGAUCCAGCCAUACCGCGUGGGUGAAGAAGGCCUUCGGGUUGUAAAGUCCUUUUGUUGGGAAAGAAAAGCAGAAGGUUAAUACCCCGCUGUUCUGACGGUACCCAAAGAAUAAGCACCGGCUAACUUCGUG